rnacentral:lncRNA from 1 species
CUACUGAGCUUCAUAUGCAGAUGAGCAAGUUACAACAAUGCUUUGUUUGUGCUAUGUAAUACAAAGUAAUUUGGGACAUAUUUGGGAGCACAAUAAAAAGAGGAUUGCACCUGGAGUUAGGAAGACCUGAGUUCAAAUCUAGGUUCUGACUCAUACUAGUUAUGUGAUUUUGGGCCAAGUCAUUCUGCCUUAGUUUCCUCAACUAUAAAAUGAGAAUAAUUACAGUACCCACCUUGGACGGUUGUUGUGAGAUAAUUUUUGUGAAGUGCUUAAUGUAGUAUCUGGCACAUAGUAGGUACUAUAUAAAUGCUUAUUCCUUUCCUCUUUAUUACUUGGGAACUUGGUAACUCAACUUUAGUAUUAAAGUUUGGAGGGGAACUAAUUUCAUUCCAAAAUGGCAGGCAUAUUGGAGGUUAUAUGUAACUAUAGUAAUGUGACUGAUCUUAUUAAAAGCAAAAAGCAGAGCCUAUGUAAAGACGUUUCUACAUUAUGUAGUCUUGUCUUUAAGACAGUAGCCUUGAUUCUUUAUUUUAAGGCUCUAUUUCAUGUCCCAGAAAUUUUAGUGCAGUUUUAAGCAGCUUAAAACUGAAGUAAGACUUCUGGAAUACCCUGUGUUUGUGUUUGAAUUUGUAUUUAUCUUGUUUAAGGUGAGACAACAUAAUGUGAUAGAGAGCUAAUCUUGAAGUCAAAAAGACCUAAAUUCAAGUCUUUCUUAUUACAGAUAUCUGGAUGUGUGUUCUUAAGCAAGUCAAUUAAUCUCUUUUUCUUGAGAAACUCUCUAAGACUCUUUAAGUUGUAGCAUAGUUGCUGAUCUGUAUUAGUCAAAAGACUUUUCCACAAGGAAGAACUCUUUGCACUAAUGGAAUCACAGAUAGAGACAAUUUUUUAAAAAAAUAUGCCCAACAGUGACAAAAAUCUUUAUCCUUUGAGGGCCUGCUUUUGCAGGCAACUUGAAUAGUUUGGAGCCCUAUUUAGUAAAUACAGCUAAUAAUGAAGCUGGUUAAAACUAUUUAGGAUUAAAAAAUAAAUGAUAAUUAUAGGGAGGAGACACUGCAUUUAUUAAUGAUUCUUAAAAUGACUUUUAAGGUAAAUCUAGAUAGGUUGUAUUGGUCUUAAAAUAAGUAAGAAAUGAAUUCAAAUCAUAAAUAUGAAUUAAAAUUCAAAUUAGAAAUAAUAUUCAACUUGACUUAGGCAAGUUAUUUAACUAGUUUUAGCCCCUGUUUCUACAUCUGUAAAAUGUGAGGAAUGGACUCAAUGACCUUUAAAAUCUCUUCCAGUUCUACAUAUGUGAUCUCUGAUUCAGAAGAGAUCUAAAAAUAUAAUGGGCAAUGUCAAUAUUAC